UGCCCAGACACGCCGCUAGGGUGUCCCGUGAGUGACGCGUGAAAAUAAGAGGGUCAUCGGGAAGAUGAUGAUCUAUCCAGCCCCUCUUCCAAUUAUAUGCAGCCCCUCUUCCCUACCAUAAUGAUAGCAAUUAAUUGAACAGCAAAGCCUGUUCACUAAGUGUAACGGGCCUGAAUCAAUCACUAUUUUGCUAUAAGUAUAAUGCGCACCCUUAAACAAUGCAGAAAAUAAACGUUCCGCGUAUCAUAAGCAAGGCAUGCAGCCAAGGCGUCCAUUCCCACGGCCGCAUGUUCCGUCCAUGAAGCGGUUAUAUCCAGCGCCCAUUGCCUAAUCAGACACUGCAUUACGUGGCCGCUUUAUCGUGUGCCCACUGCUGUCUUUCAACUUACGACAUCUCCAUCGACAUCACUUCGUUCCCGCAAAGGAACCACUCUUUAAAAAGCCCCGAGGCGAGCGCUCCUCCACACACCCACCACAACCGCCUUGGCGGGUCUGCCAACGGAUCCAGACUCCAGCGAAGAAGAUAAAGAACCCAUGUAGGAAGUUGCCAGCCCUACGUCGCCAAAAAUCAAUCUCAAUGGAUACGAAAGAAUAUAUACGGGAAAGAGGAACACACACCUUCAAGUACGCGAGCAACUCACACGGUGCCUGAGCAAAAAUGCCAUAACGUCAGACGCUGACGUUUUCACGUCCCAGCCGAGGCGUAUAACCACGCGUUAGGCGCAGAUGCCCUGCCGCCUUAUUGAUCGCGACCUAGAGACCUGGGACGCUACAGGUGGUGACACUGAUACCGCCGACACGGACCUAAGGACGUGGUCGAUUCCGCCAACACAACGCUGGGCCUACGCCCUUCAGAUGCCCAAACCCAUCCGUUCCCCAACGGACUAACAUACCCUUCACAAUCAGUCGCGCAUUUCCCCUUUUAUCCCCUUUAGGAGGAAGAAGAAGACGUCAUCCCCCAUGCACAUCUGGUCCCAGAAUGAGGAUGUUCACACAUACAGACCAAAAUUUCGAAAGGUGGUUUGCGCACCGGUAUCCACGUACAUGCAUUAUUAUGCCCAAUUUCUUGAGUGUAUGCAUGCUUACUUCAGUAAGAGGUAGGGUGGACGCAGCACCCAAUAGUUCUCGUGCGAUACCCCGGCAUAGUAGCCCUACCCGAGAUUUAGCAACGUUUGCAGCGGCACAGCAGUACCCUUGACUGUAAUUUUCUGACCUGGGCGCACCAGCAUAUCUAAGCAGUCCCAUUCCCAGGUUGCCGGUUUGCUGUAGUCUCCUUUGGAGUAACGGCGGAUGCUGAGGUACGUUUCCCCGUCCACGGGUAUUCGCUCGGAAUUGCAGAAAGCGUCCGGCUCCGGUGGGUCUACCACCAUGCUGCAGGUCGUGUUACUAUUUAAUUCAGUCAUGACGAUAUCCAAUGCAAUUGUAAAGCCGCCACUUGAAUUGAAGCCGGCAAGCAGUCCACCGCGCUGAAGUCGCCUCUUCGGAGCCGAGCGCGUAUAGACCAGAAUGGGUCCUCCGGUAAGAUUCUUAACGAAGAUGCACCCUAAAUUUCUCAACCUGGUGAUGAAGUUUACGCUCGACACUGAUGUGGCCCUUGUAAAAGCCUGAACGGGACAGCGGGAGCGCUCCUAGGAACAAUCUAAAGAAAGAGCACGAGAUCAACAAGCAAAGGAAUAUUGGUACUCGCCUCUUCGUCAUCAGAUAGAGAAGGUUCUGCAAUUGCGAUGUCACCGGCAACAAGCUCGUCUGAGGUCAUUUGUAUAGAUUUCACAGGGAUAAGCAGUAUACCUGCUUAUAGAGCUUGGAGGGACUUGGGUUGGUUCGUCAACCUCUAGCUGCUGUGUCAUUACCGUACUUUUUACGGUCGGACGGUAGCCCCUUUUUUGUCGUGCUGAAGCUGCACGGAGG
rnacentral:lncRNA from 1 species